rnacentral:lncRNA from 10 species
AUAAAAGUUAGAUAAUUACUAUAAACAAGGAAAAUAUUUUUUAAAGUUAACGAGUAACUCUCCCCAAAAAUGAAAAUUGAACAAACAUAUUAAACGAUGUUUGACAUCACUAUAAACCACAGAAAUAUAAAUUAAAAUAAGAUCUCGGUUUUUACUAAACAAAUUGGCGAAUGUUUAAAAGAUGUUAUACAUUCAAUGUUGCCAAAUGCAUAGGUUUUAUCUGCUUAGGACUAUAACAUGCACCCUUUUAAAGAACAAAAUUGGCCGGGUGCGGUGGCUCAUGCCUGUAAUCCCAGCACUUUGGGAGGCUGAGGCAAGUGGAUCACCUGAGGUCAGGAGUUCAAGACCAGCAUGGCCAACAUGGUGAAACCCCAGCUCUACUAAAAAUACAAAAAACUAGCUGGGUGUGGUGGUGGGCGCCUGUAAUCCCAGCUACUCAGGAGGCUGAGGCAGGAGAAUCACUUGAACCCGGGAGGCAGAGGUUACAGUGAGCUGAGAUCACGCCAUUGGACUCCAGCCUGGGCAACAGCGAAACUCCGUCUCGGGGGAAAAAAAAAAAAAAAAAAAAAGAAUAAAAUUAGUAAAACCCAACAAAAAUUGAAAUUGACAUACUCUCUGACCCAAAAAUUCCAUAUCCAUUUUUUUUUUUUUGAAACAGGGUCUCACUCUGUCACCCAGGCUGGAGUGCAGUGGUGUGAUCUCGGCUGACUGCAACCUCCAUCUCCCAGAUUCAGGUGAUUCUCGUGCCUCAGCCUCCCCAGUAGCUGGGAUUACAGGUGUGCACCACCAUGCCCAGCUAAUUUUUGUAUUUUUGGUAGAGACAGGGUUUUGCCAUGUUGCCUAGGCUGGUCUUGAACUCCAGAGCUCAGGCAAUCUGCCUGCCUUGGCUUCCCAAAGUGCUAGGAUUACAGGUGUGAGCCACCGUGCCUGGCCAAAUGUGAAAUAUUUUUAUUAGCAUUACAAGCGUUUGAGAACCUAUAGAGGAGAACCUAAGGGCUUGAAAAAGAAAAGGUUCUAUUACAGAGCCAAAUAUGACUUAAUUUCUCUGAGGAAUCAGGAUAAGGAAAACUGCCAUCCAAAAAUUGCUUUAUUGCCUCUGCAGGCUUUCAAAUCUCUUUGGCCUUAUCUAUUAGGAUUUUGCAGAUAAUAAGCAGACACCUAACUCCUCAAAGUACUGCAUUUACCUGUGGCUUUCACCUGCAAGGAGGUGUGCAGAGGACCCCGUAAGCUACUCAGCACCAAAGUGCUGGUAUCUUAAAAAGCAAC